AUUUUUCAUCACUGCACUUAAUAGAAAAUGAACAGGAAGAAAUAGAUAGUCAGUCUAUUAUUUCUUCAUUAUGCAACUGAUUUAAUAUUUCUGUUGUUGGCAUAUUCCAAUCAAUUAAUUCAUUGGAAUGUUCAUAAUUUUUUUCAAGUUCAAUCAAUUCUUUAAAUUUGCAACCAAAUAUUUCCAUACUGAGUGUUUCAUACUCCAGAGCACUGGUUCUCAAAGUGUGAGCCAGGGCAUACUGGUGCGCCCUAGAAGAUUUCCGGGUGCGCCCUAUGGUAUUCCAGAGAAAUAUGUGUCCAGAUGUAAAAAUAAAUAUAGUUACUCUAUUAU
rnacentral:lncRNA from 1 species